AGAGUUUGAUCCUGGCUCAGAUUGAACGCUGGCGGUAUGCUUAACACAUGCAAGUCGAACGGUAACAUGAAAUAGCUUGCCUCCUGGCUGACGAGUGGCGGACGGGCGAGUAACGCGUAGGAAUCUGCCUAAUAGAUGGGGACAACUCAGGGAAACUUGAGCUAAUACCGAAUACGCCCUACGGGGGAAAGCGGGGGAUCUUCGGACCUCGCGCUAUUAGAUGAGCCUGCGUUGGAUUAGCUAGUUGGUGAGGUAAUGGCUCACCAAGGCGACGAUCCAUAGCUGGUCUGAGAGGACGAUCAGCCACACUGGGACUGAGACACGGCCCAGACUCCUACGGGAGGCAGCAGUGGGGAAUAUUGGACAAUGGGCGCAAGCCUGAUCCAGCAAUACCGCGUGUGUGAAGAAGGCCUUAGGGUUGUAAAGCACUUUCAGCAGUGAAGAAAUGCUUAAGCUUAAUACGCUUGAGUCUUGACGUUAACUGCACAAGAAGCACCGGCUAACUCCGUGCCAGCAGCCGCGGUAAUACGGGGGGUGCAAGCGUUAAUCGGAUUUACUGGGCGUAAAGCGCGCGUAGGUGGUUUGGCAAGUUGGAUGUGAAAGCCCCGGGCUCAACCUGGGAAUUGCAUCCAAAACUGCUAAGACUAGAGUGUAGUAGAGGGAAGUGGAAUUCCGGGUGUAGGGUGAAAUGCGUAGAUAUAGGAAGGAACAUCAGUGGCGAAGGCGAUCGCCUGGACUAAUACUGACACUGAGGUGCGAAAGCGUGGGUAGCAAACAGGAUUAGAUACCCUGGUAGUCCACGCCGUAAACGAUGUCAACUAGCCGUUGGGAGGAUUGCCUCUUGGUGGCGCGUAGCUAACGCAUUAAGUUGACCGCCUGGGGAGUACGGCCGCAAGGUUAAAACUCAAAUGAAUUGACGGGGACCCGCACAAGCGGUGGAGCAUGUGGUUUAAUUCGAUGCAACGCGAAGAACCUUACCUACCCUUGACAUACAGAGAACUUUCCAGAGAUGGAUUGGUGCCUUCGGGAGCUCUGAUACAGGUGCUGCAUGGCUGUCGUCAGCUCGUGUCGUGAGCUGUUGGGUUAAGUCCCGUAACGAGCGCAACCCUUAUCCUUAGUUGCCAACGGUUAGGCCGGGAACUUUAGGGAGACUGCCGGUGAUAAACCGGAGGAAGGUGGGGACGACGUCAAGUCAUCAUGGCCCUUAUGGGUAGGGCUACACACGUGCUACAAUGGUCGGUACAGAGGGCUGCAAACUCGCGAGAGUAAGCUAAUCUCAGAAAGCCGAUCUUAGUCCGGAUUGGAGUCUGCAACUCGACUCCAUGAAGUUGGAAUCGCUAGUAAUCGCGGAUCAGAAUGCCGCGGUGAAUACGUUCCCGGGCCUUGUACACACCGCCCGUCACACCAUGGGAGUGGGUUGCAAAAGAAGUGGGUAGACUAACCUUCGGGAGGUCGCUCACCACUUUGUGAUUCAUGACUGGGGUGAAGUCGUAACAAGGUAACC
rnacentral:rRNA from 1 species